UGGAGUUGGUGUUGGCGGUGUUACGACCGGUGGGCUUGGUGUUGGUGGCGUAACAACAGGUGGCGGUGGGCACGGUGAUGGCGGUGGCGGUGGGCACGGUGAUGGCGGCGUUACGACGGGUGGAGGCGUAUGAGUGGGUGGUUUAGGGGUGGACGGAGGUGGUUUAACAGUGGGCGGUUUCGUGGGUGGUUUCGGGGUAGACGGAGGAGGUUUAACGGUGGGCGGUUUCGUGGGUGGUUUCGGGGUGGACGGAGGUGGUUUAACGGUGGGCGGUUUCGUGGGUGGUUUCGGGGUGGGAUGAGGUUUGGUAGGGGGUUUCGGAUGUGGGUGUGGUUUGACAGUGGGCGGUUUGGUAGGGGGUUUAGGGUGUGGGUGUGGUUUGACGGUGGGUGGUUUGGGAGGUUUUACUGCCGGUGGUUUAGGCGGUUUGCUAGGAUGUUUAGGCGGUUUGUGGGGGUGAG
rnacentral:lncRNA from 1 species